rnacentral:rRNA from 1 species
AUUGAACGCUGGCGGCAUGCCUUACACAUGCAAGUCGAACGGCAGCACGGGGCAACCUGGUGGCGAGUGGCGAACGGGUGAGUAGUGCAUCGGAACGUACCUUUCAGUGGGGGAUAACGUAGCGAAAGUUACGCUAAUACCGCAUAUUCUGUGAGCAGGAAAGCAGGGGAUCGCAAGACCUUGCGCUGAUUGAGCGGCCGAUGUCAGAUUAGCUAGUUGGUGAGGUAAAGGCUCACCAAGGCGACGAUCUGUAGCGGGUCUGAGAGGAUGAUCCGCCACACUGGAACUGAGACACGGUCCAGACUCCUACGGGAGGCAGCAGUGGGGAAUUUUGGACAAUGGGGGCAACCCUGAUCCAGCCAUGCCGCGUGAGUGAAGAAGGCCUUCGGGUUGUAAAGCUCUUUCGGCCGGGAAGAAAUCGCACGGGCUAAUACCCUGUGUGGAUGACGGUACCGGAACAAGAAGCACCGGCUAACUACGUGCCAGCCGCCGCGGUAACAC